rnacentral:rRNA from 1 species
GACGAACGCUGGCGGCGUGCUUAACACAUGCAAGUCGAACGGAAAGGCCCUGCUUUUGUUGGGUGCUCGAGUGGCGAACGGGUGAGUAACACGUGAGUAACCUGCCCUUGACUUUGGGAUAACUUCAGGAAACUGGGGCUAAUACCGGAUAGGAGCUCCUGCUGCAUGGUGGGGGUUGGAAAGUUUCGGCGGUUGGGGAUGGACUCGCGGCUUAUCAGCUUGAUGGUGUGGUAGUGGCUUACCAAGGCUUUGACGGGUAGCCGGCCUGAGAGGGUGACCGGCCACAUUGGGACUGAGAUACGGCCCAGACUGCUACGGGAGGCAGCAGUGGGGAAUAUUGCACAAUGGGCGGAAGCCUGAUGCAGCGACGCCGCGUGCGGGAUGACGGCCUUCGGGUUGUAAACCGCUUUCGCCUGUGACGAAGCGUGAGUGACGGUAAUGGGUAAAGAAGCACCGGCUAACUACGUG